rnacentral:rRNA from 1 species
CCUACGGGUGGCAGCAGUGAGGAAUAUUGGUCAAUGGCCGGAAGGCUGAACCAGCCAUGCCGCGUGAAGGUCAGUGCCCUAUGGGCGUUAAACUUCUUUUGUGCGGGAGCAAUAAUGGUCACGUGUGGCCAGACGGGAGUACCGUACGAAUAAGCAUCGGCUAACUCCGUGCCCGCAGCCGCGGUGAUACGGGGGAUGCAAGCGUUAUCCGGAUUUAUUGGGUUUAAAAGGUGCGUAGGCUGGGAGGUAAGUCAGCGGUGAAAUGCCCCCGCGCAACGGGGUGAAGUGCCAUUGAUACUGGGUGGCGGGAAUGCGGAUGACGUGGGAGGAAUGUGUGGUGUAGCGGUGAAAUGCAUAGAUAUCACACAGAACACCGAUUGCGAAGGCAGCGCACGAGUCCGCGAUUGACGCUGAUGCACGAAAGCGUGGGUAUCAAACAGGAUUAGAUACCCCGGUAGUC